CAGCGAGCUAGCACUGCAGUGCAUAACAUGUGGUGAGUAGUUGACUCAAAGAGAGGGAAAGGCAAUAGUUGAACAGUUUUCAACAAAUUAAUUUCUUCAACACCGAAUGAGACGCAAGAGAGAGAAAGUUUCAAUUACUUAGCUAGCAAAUGCAGCUGGCUAGUUUAGUUACUCAUACACCUGACUCAAACAGAGGGAUGCUAUGUUAGCUAGCUGGCUACAACUAUCCAACACAACACUAAAUCUCUUCCAAGGCACAGCACCAUAGAAGAAGUACCAUAGAAGAAAUGCGGUGUAACAAGGUGUAACACAAUACAACGGCCAUGGGUGGCUCGGCUAAGCCCGAGAUGAGCCUCUCUUUUAGGAAGAGAAGGACUGGGUGCUUUGAAGGACCUGAGCCCUAGGACCAUGCCUCAGGACUACCUGGCAUGAUGACUCCUUGCUGUCUCCAGUCCACCUGGCCGUGCUGCUGCUCCAGUUUCAACUGUUCUGGACGUGCUACCUGUCCCAGACCUGCUGUUUUCAACUCUCUAGAGACAGCAGGAGUGGUAGAGAUACUCUUAAUGAUCGGCUAUGAAAAGCCAACUGACAUUUACUCCUGAGGUGCUGACUUGCUGCACCCUCGACAACUACUUUGAUUAUUAUUAUUUGACCAUGCUGGUCAUUUAUGAACAUUUGAACAUCUUGGCCAUGUUCUGUUAUAAUCUCUCCACCUGGCACAGCCAGAAGAGGACUGGCCACCCCUCAUAGCCUGGUUCCUCUCUAGAUUUUUUCCUAGGUUUUGGCCUUUCUAGGGAGUUUUUCCUAGCCACCAUGCUUCUACACCUGCAUUGCUUGCUUUUUGGGAUUUUAGGCUGGGUUAAUGUACAGCACUUUGAGAUAUCAGCUGAUGUACGAAGGGCCAUAUAAAUACAUUUGAUUUGAAGAAAUAUUAUGUUGGAAAAUGUUUUUGUGUAAGCCUGGCUUCCCUUGGCAUCCAUGAAUAUACGCCACUGGUUAGCUGCAGGAAGAUGGUUAGAGAGCCCAUUGCAUACAGAGUUUGGGUAGAAUAUCACCUGUUGGGCAGCUACUCAAACAGUGGUUGAUAUGUGGAGUGAAAUAACUGUUCUUGUAUUUAUUUCUCAGCUACUCAUAACGAGCACAUGCUCCGCUAUAAAACCCAAGUAGCCUACAAAAUGGACCGGCCUGAAAGCACACGGCCUCCAUUCAUUCGCUAUUCAUGUGCAUACAGAUGACAUGUCUUUUUUCCCCUGACCCUGUUCCUGCCCAUUUGAUAAUGGGCCAUUCUAAAUCGAAAGACAAGAUUCAAUUGAGAAUAGUCUGAUGGGUGAAAAUGUGAUGAUCACUUGAUGAGAGAACAGCUGUGUAGCCUGGGGCAAGGAACAGAGUGCAAGCUUUUUUCUGCAACUUUCUCAAAUCAUCAAUGGCCGAUAUAGUCGCACCAUGGAGCCCAUAUAUACUGAACAAAAAUAUACUAAACCCCUCACUGCUUUCAGCAGUAAGCCAGAAGCUUGCUUACAGUGGGAUGAGUGUGAUUUUGCUGAAAAUAAUGGUCCCUAUGUUAAAAAUAUAUGUAUUGAAGUUUGACAACAAGAGCAUUAUCUAUGAAUGUAAUGGAUGCAUGGCCCUGGUGCAUGUGUGUGUGUGUGUGUGUGUGUGUG